rnacentral:rRNA from 1 species
UACGUGGGGUGCGAGCGUUGUCCGGAAUUAUUGGGCGUAAAGAGCUCGUAGGCGGUGUGUCGCGUCGGCCGUGAAAACCUGGGGCUCAACUCUGGGCGUGCGGUCGAUACGGGCAUCACUUGAGUUCGGCAGGGGAGACUGGAAUUCCUGGUGUAGCGGUGAAAUGCGCAGAUAUCAGGAGGAACACCGGUGGCGAAGGCGGGUCUCUGGGCCGAUACUGACGCUGAGGAGCGAAAGCAUGGGUAGCGAACAGG